GCCUUCUUGGCUCAGUUGGCUAGAGCGCAGGUCUCAUAAUCGCCUGGGCAUCCCAGACAUGAGUGGCUUCGGCCAUAUAAUCCUGAGGUCGCAAGUUCGAGCCUUGCAGAGGGCA